CCGGGGUCCGCCCACUCGGGCCCUCGGGGCGGGUCCCGCCGGGCCUGAUCCCCGGUUCCUCCGAUGUCCCUGCGGUUUGCGCGACUCUGAAGGGUCAGGACUGGCUGCCGGCGGGGGCUGGGAGAGGGAGCCCGGGGCGCGCCUUUUGCCUGCUCUCCGCCCCGCCCCCCAGGUUUGGAGGAGUUUUCCUUUCGGGAAAGUCCCUCGGAGGCCUGUUGGCCGGUGUCAGGCUGACCUUCACAGGCGGGAGGGUUUCCCUCUGCGCCGCGCGUUUCCGGUAGCCCCCGAAUCCAGCGAUGGCGGGUGGGGGAUUGGGGUUUGGGGGUGAGGCCCCCACUCCUUGACUCUCCGCCUGCAGGGGAAGCGCUUUGGAGAAGUUGGGUAACUUUAGAUUCUUCACACUGAAUGAGGGCCUCAGUUCACCUGCUGACCUGGACUCCAGCUUUCCUCACUUCCUAUCACUUAAGGAAUAAGGGUUGGGGGAGAGUCCCGCCUUGGUGGAAUAGUCAGAUGUUUAGCUCCUGUGACAUGCGCCUGUACUAGGGAACUGCUCUGCCACCUCCUUCUUAACUUGCACAAGUAUACAGAGAUUGAAAAAAUAACCUUGAGAGAAUCUAUCCCUGAUUCUAGAAAGAGAAAUUUGAUCUCGGUGACAAGCAUGCAUAGAGGGAAGACACUGAAGACACAGAGAAAGUGUCAUCUACAAGAAAAGGAAUGACAGGCUGCCAAGCUGAGGAAUACUGAAGCUAGGAAAGAGGAGUGGAACAGAUUCUCUCUCAUGAUUGUCUGAAGGAACCAACUCUGCCAACUCCUUGAUUUUGGACUUCUAGCCUCCAGAACUGUGCUUGUAUAUGCUUUACGGCAAGCUCAGGAGGAAAAUGCCAUAACCCUUGUUUGGCAGGUGGAGGAACUGUUAGCUUCUCAAGGACACAUUGCUGAUCUUCAUUACUAUGACUCCUAUUCUUCCUUUGGGACUCAGCUCAGAUAUUACCUCUUCAAAGAGAGCUCUCAUGAUACCUUCCCCUGCCUGUCAAAGAAACAUAAAUUGAGAUCUGCUCGAAGACUGAUGGUCUUGAAUUUUUAGUUUUUACUAGGUGAGAAGAAAAUGGGAAGACUGAAAGGCAAAAUGUUGCUUCCAGCAUCUUCGUCAAAACAAUAGUUUUUGUAAAACUCACUGAAUUCACUUCAGCAUUGGCCAGAACUGAGUCAUAUAUUCACUACGGCUGCAUGGGAGACUGGAAUCUGGGCAACUCUGAGCUAGUACGUGGGCAUCAUGCACAAAAUCACAGUUAGCGAAGGAGAGAGUGGAUGGUGAGUGACCCCUAGCAGUGUUUGCCACAUGGUGAAAGUAAUAAACUAUGGUAGAGGGUCAGAGGAAUCGGGGCACCCACCAGUAGGAAAUACUGGUGAAGAAGUGUCACAGAAGGUUUAAAGAAAAGCUGACUUAAAGUAUAGAGAAGUAGUAACCGAUGAACCAUUAUUCUCAGGUAGAAGCAAAGAUGGGACUCUUGUGACUGACCUAAAGACCUAAAGUCGUAUUAACCACCGAUCAUGUGUGCCUUAUUUAUUCAAUAAUUUCCUCUCUGAGGAUGAGUACACAGUGUUUUUAAUAAAGUAGUACAGAGACUCAAUGAUCUUGUUACUCUGACUUGAGUUAUGAUUAAUCUUGAGCACUUUGGAAUAGUAUUUUUUCUAAAUUUUUUAAAGAUGAAUUUGUCCCCAGUAGGGUCAUUCUUAUUUUCAAAUGUGGUGUGGGUUUUAUCAAUAAUAUGUCAUGUGAUUUCAUUUCUAUGCCUUGACUCAUCAUGCUUUUUACUGCCUGAGUGCAAUCAAAACCCAGCAAGAGUAGUAUUCAAAAGAAAUGCCAUAAACAAUGGGCAUAGCAUUCCUACAUAGUGUGCUGACUUGUAAUUAGAAUUUUAUAAAUCUGUUGAGUUUCCAAACAAACUACUAGAAAUCCUGAUUCCUCAGGCAUUAGAUAUAGACCCUCUGUGUUCAUUGUUUAAUAUAAUAAGGGUAGAUUAAAAAACAAAAUUUUAUUUGUAAAUAUCAUGUACCUGUUUUUCUAUAUUCUCAUAUUUUUCAUUGAAUCUGUUGUACUAAGUCAAGCACAAAUUCAGAGAACUCCAAAAGAAGGACUAAAAUUUUCUGAUAAUACUUUUAGUAAUGUAACAAUAUGAAGGUGAAGAUAUUUGGAGAGAUAAAUGGUUCUCAGAUAAACCUGGAGAUUUGGCUGUGACAUGACUCAUUUUUGCUUAGGGGUUAAUUCUUAUGGUCUAACUUUAUUUUCCACUAGUUAUGUCUUUCUCAAAUUUCUAAACAUACCCUUUCUCUCUUUAGACAACAGUUUGAAUAAGCCACCUUAUCUUUUUAUUGAUUUCCUUUAUAAUUGGACAGAUACCAAAUUGUAGUCUUAAUCUGAUCCUUUUUUCCUCACAGUCCAACAUGAUUCCUAUGAUCAGAUCGGCAAUAACAAUCAUGGUAGUGAUUCAAUUUGGCAGCUUCCAGUGCAAUUAAUUGAAGUAGAAAGAAAUAAAUCUGCAGAGCAUAUAUUAAGUAAUUUUGUGAAGCUCUUAUUUAAAAAGUUUUGUUAAAUGUUCCUUUUAAAUGUUGGCUCAGUGUUCACAUCUGAGAACUCACUAAAUCCUGUAAGAGCUCAUAAAUGAAUAUCUAACUUGCAGUCAAAACA